GUACUAUUGAAGAGUCCCAAGCCAGGACGAAACAGCUGUCCAGUAA
rfam:Trichobilharzia regenti genome assembly, scaffold: TRE_scaffold0022005